AAGACUCUUAUAGCCAAGUCCAGGGAUUCACUGACCACACGCACUCUUCAUUCUGAGCUAGUUUAUAAUUACUCAGGAUCUAAGCAUAUUACAGAAUCCCUGAAAAGAUAUGGAAUCUCCUAUAGCUCCACAUACAUAUUCCUGGCUGCUCGCUUCAACGCUUCUCCAGAUGAGAUGAAAGUGUAGAGAAACUUAUCAAAGGGAAAGAAAUCGAAUUAGAGGAACUGGAAGGGAGAGCAAACCAAGCUCAAAUGCAGAAGCACUACAAAUUUCUGGCUUGGGAGUAGG